rnacentral:lncRNA from 1 species
UAAAACCAUCGAUAAAGCAAAUUUGAUACUCGUUAUGAUGUUAUAUUAUAAGUUGAGCAAGUAUCCGCAUGAGAAUCCGAAUUCAAACUAUUUAUUUUGUAUUUGUAUUCGAAUUCGAAUUAAAAUGUGGUAAAUAGUGCUAUCCGAAUUCGAUUCCAUGCGUAGAUCCGAAUCCAUCCCUACUCUGUUCUGGUCUUCCCAGUUGUUGUCAUCAC